rnacentral:tRNA from 1 species
UAGCCUAGUGGUUAGGUCUAUGGAUUGCCAAUCCGGAGACGGCGGGUUCGAUUCCCGU